rnacentral:SRP_RNA from 1 species
GCCGGGCGUGGUGGCUCACGCCUGUAAUCCCAGCACUUUGGGAGGCCGAGGCGGGUGGAUCACCUGAGGUCAGGAGUUCGAGACCAGCCUGGCCAACAUGGUGAAACCCCGUCUCUA